rnacentral:lncRNA from 1 species
AUGGAGCUUCAUCUUUUAGUUUGGGUAGCAAAAAUAAUGUAUCAUUCCUUUUUCUUCCUAGAUUGGGCAUUAAGGAAAGAAGAGUAUAAAAAUGAGAUCGAGAGACUUUCUGGCGAGAUGUCCAACUACUUAAAUGUCACCAAUUUCUGGCAGAUAAGAGAACACCAAGGGAACAGUCCAAACAUGCGAGCACUCAGACAGAGGGCGCCUGCAGAGCGGAGGAAAGGUAACUGCUGCUCUGUGUAUCCUUCACUGCUCAGUACGCCCCAGUGCUGUGCUUUCGUGGCACUUGUGCUAGGAAAAUAUUGACUGUACAGAAUUAAGCAGAUUUUUUUGGCUGUAGCUUUCAUGCUUGGAGGGAUGUUACUGACAUGCAGCAGUGCCCCAAAAUAGGUGAAGCUGUCUGGGGAUAUGAUGUGUUCAGUGACUCAGAGCUCCUCCUCAGCAUCUUGUGGCACAGAAUUUGCAGGGGGAUUUAAAACCAGUGGCAUGAGCAAGCGAUGUCUGUGUCACACUGCUUCCAAAGAUAGAUCCUUGUUUUCUGUGCCACACAGGGCAUAUCAUUCAAGCUGCUUUUCACCAGUUGCAGUGAAAAUCAGUAUAAAGGAGUGACAAAUGGGGUCAGUCGCAAGAUGUAACUGUAAUGAAGAGACCUACUUGGCAGUCUGAUGGAAAAUGUUUGAGCAGUAUGAAUAUGUCUUGGACUCUUCUGCGCAUAGCUGCGAUACUUGAGUCACCAAAUUCAUCUGUGUUAUGAUGGUUGUUUCCUUUCGUAACUUGUGAAGGWUCUUACAGUCAACUGCAGACCUCGGUUUCUGUAAAGAGUAAUUUUUAUGGAGGGGAAAGGGGAUGGAUAUAAUGUUCUAGCUGCCUUUAACACCUGGAAGUCACACAAAUAAAUCCCUAUAUAUCUUGCCA